rnacentral:rRNA from 1 species
UACGGAGGGUGCAAGCGUUAUCCGGAUUCACUGGGUUUAAAGGGUGCGUAGGAGGGCAGGUAAGUCAGUGGUGAAAUCUCCGAGCUUAACUCGGAAACUGCCGUUGAUACUAUCUGUCUUGAAUACCGUGGAGGUAAGCGGAAUAUGUCAUGUAGCGGUGAAAUGCUUAGAUAUGACAUAGAACACCAAUUGCGAAGGCAGCUCACUACACGAGCAUUGACGCUGAGGCACGAAAGCGUGGGGAUCAAACAGG